rnacentral:rRNA from 1 species
GGGGAAUAUUGCGCAAUGGGGGAAACCCUGACGCAGCAACGCCGCGUGCGGGAUGAAGGCCUUCGGGUUGUAAACCGCUUUCAGCAGGGACGAAGGGUUUCUGACGGUACCUGCAGAAGAAGCACCGGCUAACUACGUGCCAGCAGCCGCGGUGAUACGUAGGGUGCGAGCGUUGUCCGGAAUUAUUGGGCGUAAAGCGCGCGCAGGCGGGAAUCUAAGUCUGUCUUAAAAGUGCAGGGCUUAACCCUGAGCCUGCUUUCGAUACGGGCAGACUUGAGGGAUGUAGGGGAGAACGGAAUUCCUGGUGGAGCGGUGGAAUGCGCAGAUAUCAGGAGGAACACCAGUGGCGAAGGCGGUUCUCUGGACAUUUCCUGACGCUGAGAAGCGAAAGCGUGGGGAGCAAACA